rnacentral:tRNA from 1 species
GGAAGAGGAUCGACCCCCGGUGGGGCGACCGGACUUCAACUCCGUGUGGGGGCUGCCAAGCAGUCCUCGGUGGGUUCGACUCCCACGCUCUUCC